rnacentral:lncRNA from 1 species
CCAAUCGCCUCCCACGUCUACCCCGCUGGGGCAGCCCCUACACCCUGCCAGGCACCCCAUUUCUCUCCUCCAGGUCUGGGGGACUGGACAACAUUGGGGAUUAGCUGGGGUCAACUCUGCUUCCCCCGCCACCCCCGGCCCCGGGCGCGCGCUCACCCGGCGGCCGCGUUCUCGAACUUGAGCGCGAGCGUCUCCUCGAUGAUGCGGUUGUUCACCUCCAGCAGGAUCAUGGCGGCGGCUGCCCCCAGGGGAAGGAGAAACAAGGGCCGGUGAGGGUGGGUAAGGGAGGCAAGGACGGAGGGAGCGGCCCUGCUGCCCCCUGAGUGGGGCUGGGUGGGGUAGGAGGUUAGGGGAGAAGGGGAGAGGGGCCGGGGUGGAGGGAAGGGUAAGACGAACGCGCUGGCCCACGCACGCAGACUGUGGAGACACCCACCCACCCAACCGACCUGGCCCCCGAAGCCUGAACCCGCCUGCCGAGCCGCCGCCGCCGCCGCCACUGCCGCUUCACCGACAAGCCCGGUCCCCGCCCAGCCCCCGGCUCUAGCCGGCCACUUCCGCUCUCACACCCACUUCCGCUCGCCGCCUGGACGCGCGGCCCCGCGGCGCCAUUUCCGCUUCAACCACUCGUGAACGCGAGCGCAGGCGCGCCGGAGGAAACGGAGGCUGCGCUUGCGUAUGUGUGAUGCCGCCGCCCCACCGUCUACUUUCCCACCGACCCCGCUUACGUCUACCGCCUACCAGUGCGUCCCCCGCGGAGCUGUCAUUCCCCGAGGCUUGCCUGACUGUUCAGCUUCUCUCUCCCGCUUGUCCCAGAGAUCCAACUCCAUUCUUCCGGUCUUGUCAUUUCAGAAACCUCGCAAGAAGCUCGCCCUUGUCGUCUCCCAGCGGGCUUCUUAGCUCCCAGCUUGUUUGAUGGGGGUGCCUCUUUUUCUUUCCAGGUAUAGCUGUCCAGCGACACCAUCAUGCAUUCAUUUCUCCAACAAACAUUUUCAUGGGCUCUUGCUCUAUACUGGGGAUGUAGUGGUAAAUGAAAUGGACGAGGCCCUGCCCUCGUGGAACUUACAGUCUGGCAAAGGAAACAGACAAUAAAAUUCUCAGUUGUCUAAGGAGGCAGAGAUGCAUGGGGAGAGGAUCAGAGUAGGGAUGCGGAAGCAGCGAGUGGUCAGGAGUGUGCGUGCCAAAAGGCAGGAGACCUGUGGGACGUGGGGGCAGCUGGGGCCGGAACUUGCGCUGGAGGAACACCCCUUGCCUGCUGGGGCGAGAAGAGGACCCUUUCCUUGGGUGAAAUUCCCCAUAUUGUUAAAAGGACAAUUAAAGAAAUGAAAGAGAGGUCACCUGGGUGAAUAGGCAACUUAGAUGGGCCUCCCUGUGUUCCUGUCAUGCCUCCAAUUCUGCGUCCAGGUGUCCGGAACACAUUUUUUUCUGCCUUUGAAACCUUCCAGUACCUCUGGCAGAGAUAUACCAUACCCUCCUUGUUACCUGCGUGCGGAAUCUUAACUCAUCGUUGUGCUACAUCUGCACCUUCUGCCUUUGUGCCUUGUUUUGUGUUUUCCCUCCUCCGGGGAGAAUAUAAUAAACUUAGCUGAGUCCGUUCUACAUACAAGGAAAUAAUUUAUUUUCUGCUAUGUGUUUGGGGAUGGGGAUAAAAAAAUGAACAAGAAACUAGCUCCUAUCAUUAAGGCACAGAUAGCCCUUUGAAACAUUACUUAACGGGCUAUGGAUAAGCUUCAGGAUAUUGCUGAUCCCCUAAAAUUAUACGCUAACUUAAAUUUUUUUUUUUUUGAGACAGAGUCUUGCACUCUUGCCCAGGCUGGAGUGCAAUGGCAUGAUCUCGGCUCACUGCAACCUCUGCCUCCCCGGUUCAAGCGAUUCUCCUGCCUCAGCCUCCCAAAUAGCUGGGAUUAAAGGUGCCUGCCACCAUGCCCUUUUAAUGUUUUGUAUUUUUAGUAGAGACGGGGUUUCACUAUGUUGGUCAGGCUGGUCUCGAACUCCUGACAUCAUGAUCCUCCUGCCUCGACC